UCGUUACCUGAAAGGACGGAAGAGGGUCAUUAAAGCGCUGUUCGUACUCAGUUUGUGAAUUUCGGCGUCGAAAAACCUAAGCAAACAAUCCCGACGUUCGUCAAUAAGCCCUCCAAGAUAAUAAUUCGGCCAACAGUUUAAAUAAAUACCUCCAGCGAUGUUGACGUCACCGACGACGAUGGCAUCGUGGGAAUAUCCAACGUGAAUUUUCUGCAGUUCAAGAGCCUCUUGUAGCUGACGUAGAAGACAGCCGUUCAUCACACAGUUAUAAAACACACUGUUAUGUGGGAUUUACGAACCUUAUAGUCCCGUCACCUGAUUUGACUAGCCCGAUAGAUCCAUCUUUCAUGUUGAUUCAACCCACUAUGUUGUCGUCUGCUCGAGAAUGGAAUUAAUUAUUUGUGUACGCUGAUAUUUUAAACAGUUUUCCGUUUGCCUUUCCAGGUCACGCGAAAUUUCCUACACCUGUAGCAUCAUUAACUACGCUGCUAGGACUUCAAGGUGUUUCUCUGAAACUUCAGGGGAUUUUUUUGGCCUGACCUCCAUGGAGACGAGACGCCACGCGCCAUGAUUUUCCUUCUCAAAUGAUCACCAUUGUCUUUAACUGAAUAUUAAACUGAUUGACCUAACGUGAUCGACAGGACAGCGCGUGAAUUUUAAUCGCGACCCAAGGGUGAACCGCGACUUCCAUCGGAACUCAAACGAGGACUAGACUCAAUUUCGGAGGAGGCGCUUUCACUGUUGAGCGUCGUCGACGAUCCGUAUGGGUCAAGUGACGAUUGGACCGACAUUGAACGAGCAUGAGAACGCCGUCUGCCUCCACGUUGUGGUGUUGGUGACAGCUUGGCUGGAUCUACACAAGUGGGAUCAGCCUGAUAAGCUAACGCGUUCAUGAUUAGGUGAUCCGGUACCAAUCCUAUAGGAACGUAAUGGAAAUCGUUGGUUCAAUCAACGACAUUCGCUGAAUGGUUUGUACCUAAUGGAUGGAUUUCCCGCAUCAAUACAUUGGCUGGAAUUUGAUGGAAUCGAAUGAAUUCUAAAAAGUUUGAGAGUGUCUCUUUGAGGCUGAUGUUGGGAUUGCUGUCGCAGUAUUUCUUCGACCACAUUAAUGCAGCCUAUGUGGUUCACUGUAUCGUAUGAGUAAUCUAUAAUAAAUUUCCAUAAAAUUUUAAA